rnacentral:lncRNA from 13 species
AGACCGUAUGCUACGCUUAUGCUCUGUUAUGCAUUUCAUGUGCGAGGCCCUUUACUGUUCUUUUCAGUAGUACAACAGAACUUAGUUCAACAGUUCACUGAACUGCUUGCCCCAGGUCUUGAGCAAGUGCAAGCAGUGCAAAGGUGGAAAGUCUGAAAUGGCCUGGUUCUUUUCAACUGAACUGCUGCACUAGUUCAGAGCGCUAUAUUAGAUCCGAAGGGUGUUAAUAGUCAAAUUAAGAAGGCUAUAUUGAGUCCUGGUCAAGGAGAUAACGAUUCCCCACCAACGCAAUCAGAAUAUUAAAACAUGGAAACAACGGGAAGUGCAUACAUUAAAAGGGAUGCAGCUGAAAAUAUUUUGGUUGAUGAAAAUGGAAAUGUUACUUGUGAAUCCAAAG